UGGGGAAUCUUGCGCAAUGGGCGAAAGCCUGACGCAGCAACGCCGCGUGGGGGAUGAAGGCCCUCGGGUUGUAAACCCCUUUCAGCAGGGACGAAAUUGACGGUACCUGCAGAAGAAGCCCCGGCCAACUACGUGCCAGCAGCCGCGGUAAUACGUAGGGGGCGAGCGUUGUCCGGAUUCAUUGGGCGUAAAGAGCUCGUAGGCGGUUUGGCAAGUCGGGUGUGAAAUCUCUGGGCUCAACUCAGAGAGGCCACUCGAUACUGCUAUGACUAGAGUCCGGUAGGGGACCAUGGAAUUCCUUGUGUAGCGGUGAAAUGCGCAGAUAUCAGGAGGAACACCGGUGGCGAAGGCGGUGGUCUGGGCCGGCACUGACGCUGAGGAGCGAAAGCGUGGGGAGCGAACA
rnacentral:rRNA from 1 species